rnacentral:misc_RNA from 1 species
GUGCUAUCAACAUGUUAUCCUUAACGUUUGAAAAAAUAGUUGGCUGAAUAUAAUAGCCCUUAGAGCCACAUCUAUCACCUCCAAUUUCAAGUGUAGCACCACUUUCAACACCAGACCUUAUGUACUUAAGGAUCUUCUGAAAUUGUUUCUCAUCAAUCUGAGGACCUUGUUGAACCCCCUUCUGAAAUGGAUCUCCAACUACACGUUUUGAAGCACAAGCCUUUGCUUUCUCUACAAAUUCAUCAUACACGCGCUCAUGUACCAAUGUCCGAGACCCAGCACAACAACACUGACCCUGGUUAAAGAACAAAGCAAAAUGUGCAAGCUCUGCAGCUUGAUCAAUGUCAGCAUCCUCGCACACGAUAAAAGGAGAUUUUCCUCCAAGCUCUAAAGUCACUGACUUGAGAUUACUCUUUGCGGCCAUUUCUAGUAUUCUCUGACCGGUCUCAGUUGAUCCUGUGAAUGCAAUCUUGUCAACAUCCAUAUGACUACAGAGAGGUGCACCAGCAGAAGCACCAAAGCCAGAGACCACAUUUAGAACACCUGGAGGAAGCCCAGCCUGUAGUAUAAAAUAAAUUUAAUUAGUGAUUGAC